rnacentral:rRNA from 1 species
GACGAACGCUGGCGGCGUGCUUAACACAUGCAAGUCGAACGGUGAUACAGAGCUUGCUCUGUUGAUCAGUGGCGAACGGGUGAGUAACACGUGAGCAACCUACCCUUGACUCUGGGAUAACAGUUGGAAACAGCUGCUAAUACCGGAUACGACCCUGGCAGACAUCCGCUGGGGUGGAAAGCUCCGACGGUCAAGGAUGGGCUCGCGGCCUAUCAGCUAGUUGGUGAGGUAACGGCCCACCAAGGCGACGACGGGUAGCCGGCCUGAGAGGGCGACCGGCCACACUGGGACUGAGAUACGGCCCAGACUCCUACGGGAGGCAGCAGUGGGGAAUAUUGCGCAAUGGGCGAAAGCCUGACGCAGCAACGCCGCGUGCGGGAUGACGGCCUUCGGGUUGUAAACCGCUUUCACCCAUGACGAAGGGUUACCUUGACGGUAGUGGGAGAAGAAGCACCGGCUAACUACGUG